CCUACGGGAGGCAGCAGUGGGGAAUAUUGGGCAAUGGGCGCAAGCCUGACCCAGCAACGCCGCGUGAAGGAAGAAGGCUUUCGGGUUGUAAACUUCUUUUAAGGGGGAAGAGAAGAAGACGGUACCCCUUGAAUAAGCCACGUCUAACUACGUGCCAGCAGCCGGGGUAAUACGUAGGUGGCAAGCGUUGUCCGGAUUUAGUGGGUGAAAAGGGCGUGCAGCCGGAGAGAGAAGUCUGAUGUGAAAUCUACGGGCUCAACCCGUGAACUGCAUUUGACACUGUUUCCCUAGAGUGUAGGAGAGGUAAUCGGAAUUCCUGGUGUAGCGGUGAAAUGCGUAGAUAUAAGGAAGAACACCAGUGGCGAAGGCGGAUUACUGGACGAUAACUGACGGUGAGGCGCGAAAGCGUGGGGAGCAAACAGGAUUAGAUACCCGAGUAGUC
rnacentral:rRNA from 1 species